GCUUCCCUCUUGCCGUCCGUCUCUGCUGUGGGCACAACGGGGCAAGCGGGGCCCUACGAUGUCUCCCAGCAAGCUACUCGACUCCAGCGUCAGCGUCAGCCGGAAACAAGCUGACGCUCCGGUUCGGCGUCACCUGAGCUAACAGGCUACCUCGUCAGUGGACUGUGACACCACCCAAGUCUGUGGAGAGGUUCACUCACAUCGGAUGAAUAAUAAGUUUUGAAGUUCUGCUUGUUCUCCUGGUAGAGAGGCUAAAGACGUGUGAGCUCCCAUUUCUGAGGAUGUCAAACAUGAGACAACUGGAAUCCAACCAGACUGAACACUGAGUCAUCACUUCAACACUGACUCCAGGUACGGACGAGCCUGAAGGACACAGCUGUGCUGACCGUGUUCUGUCUCUUAUGGCAAAGAAGAAAAACACUGGGUUCUUAUCUAAAGUGUAUCAAAUCAGAAAGCAAAAGAUAAACAUUGUUCUAAUAAGUGUUCAUUUUAAUAUAUAAUAUAUAAUGAAUAUAGAAAUUAACUCUAUUAUCCACGACACUUGAAUGACUCUAAACAGUUGCAGGCCGUCUUUAGUUAAGGAGGAAAACACAAAGUGUUGUGCAGAUGAAGCUGGUGCAUGUCGUCCUCAUGUUGAUAAUAAUAAAUUAAUAAAUUAUGCAAGUUAUUUGA